rnacentral:rRNA from 1 species
GGGGGCUAGCGUUAUCCGGAUUUACUGGGCGUAAAGGGUGCGUAGGCGGUCUUUCAAGUCAGGAGUGAAAGGCUACGGCUCAACCGUAGUAAGCUCUUGAAACUGGGAGACUUGAGUGCAGGAGAGGAGAGUGGAAUUCCUAGUGUAGCGGUGAAAUGCGUAGAUAUUAGGAGGAACACCAGUUGCGAAGGCGGCUCUCUGGACUGUAACUGACGCUGAGGCCCGAAAGCGUGGGGAGCAAACAGGAUUAGAUACCCUGGUAGUCCACGCUGUAAACGAUGAGUACUAGGUGUCGGGGGUUACCCCAUUCGGUGCCGCAGCUAACGCAUUAAGUACUCCGCCUGGGAAGUACGCUCGCAAGAGU